UCAAAUUAGUCGGGGUGCUUGAUAAGCUGAGAUCAUACCCGUGAACCUGAUACAGUUAAUACUGACGUAGGAAACUAAUUUUUCUCCGCU
rfam:Avibacterium paragallinarum JF4211, WGS project CBMK01000000 data, contig: 27-39p1